UACGUAGGGUGCAAGCGUUGUCCGGAAUUAUUGGGCGUAAAGAGCUCGUAGGCGGUCUGUCGCGUCGGACGUGAAAAUCAGGGCUCAACCCUGGACCUGCGUUCGAUACGGGCAGACUAGAGUUCGGUAGGGGAGACUGGAAUUCCUGGUGUAGCGGUGAAAUGCGCAGAUAUCAGGAGGAACACCGGUGGCGAAGGCGGGUCUCUGGGCAGUAACUGACGCUGAGGAGCGAAAGCGUGGGGAGCGAACAGG
rnacentral:rRNA from 1 species